GACUCCUUCAGGGUGCGCUUGGGUGCUUGCCUCCAGCUGAUCGUCUGCCUGCACGUCAGGCUCUGGGACACUAGCUUGUGGCGCAGCUUAGAAGGACUCCGCCGCAGGGGAGUUGAGACCAGCCGGACACGGAGCAUUAGAGGAGAUCUCAGCUGAGACAAGAGUGCCUGUGCAGCCAGCCUUUGGGGAUCUCAAAAAGGGCCGUGCAUUGCAAAUGAUGAGAUGGGGGAGGGUUGUGUGCAGUGGUGAAGAGUGAAGUUCAAGGCUCAAGGCAGGAGUUAUGUUGAAAAGCCCGGUUGGAGAGGGCCUCUGGGUACAAGUACCCAGGGCUUGUUUCGACAGAGGUUUCACUAUGAUAGGGAGAAGCAAGACUUUUGUUUGACUUUGAAACCUCUCUUUUGGUGUGAAUUUGAAUUAUACAUAAGGCUAUAAAAUGUAGGUGGGUCUGACAGACAGAAACAUUCCAUAGAAAAAGGACCUUUAGAAGCUGAGUGUGGUGGCAUUCAAGAGGCUAAGGCAGGAAGGCUGCUGUAAGUUCGAUGCCAGCCUGGGUUAUAUAUAGUAAAUCCCAGGUCAGCAUUGGUAACUAGGCUAUUAUAUGUGUGUGAGUGAAGAGUAUGAGGUUGGGUAUUCUAAGGACCUGGAGCCCAAGAGUGGACUCUGCGUCCAUCCUUAGGUUGGCAGUCUUCCAGGCCUCAGUUUCCUCCUCAGGGAAACUGUCUUACUCAUACAAUUGUGUAUUUACAAUAUGUAAAAUCAAAGUGUCCCACAAAUUCAUCCAUCACAUUCCAAGCUGAGACCUAGUCACUUUAUGAGGACAUUAGAAUCAAGAAGUAUAAACCUUGACCAACAAAGGCUAGGAGAGGAGUCUAUGGCAGCAUCAGGAAACCUGGACAUCCUUAGACCUGGAAAACGCAAGCAGCUGAAUCACACCCCACCUAAGGAUACAGCCAGACUUCAGGGAUCACCCAAGGAGGAGCACUGUACAGGCCUCUCACCUGGACCACGAGGCCAUGGCUUGAGAGGAGCUCAGACAGGCUACCCUUGCCAGCUGCAUUCUCCAAUGCCCUUCUCUCAACUCAACACACUCCCCAUCAGGAAGCCACCUUCCCAUGUGGACAUUCCUUCCUAGGAGGAAAGCGUCGACUACGACUACACAUGUGACAGCUUAGCACACAGAGGGCAAGCAAGCUCUCUGUGUGUUUCCUCAUGGGUGUUCUGCUCAACAAGCAAGUCCCUAAUGCAUCAAUCCGUACAGAACUAAACGUAAGUUUAUGGCGAUCUUCUUAUCCCCUGACAUUAGACUGUUUACACCUGGCUGUAACCUUUCAGUAUUUUGAUUCCCACUUUAUAGGCAGGCAAACUAAGGUUACAGAGAGUUAGCCUAACUUGUCCAAGAUGACCCAGCCUCAUCGACUUUAGAUGCUCAUGCAAAAAAGAGACAUGGCUUGUGGGGAGACAUUCUUCAUGGCACACCCAUCCUUUGGAGGACACAGCAAAGCCGGGCUUGGAUUCCUGACGAGUGGAAAUUGACACUGGUGACUUCUGGCUUCUACUCCUGGCCUUCGUUGACAGUUCCUGGAGAGGUGAUCAGAUCUAGCCUGAGAUCUGGGCUUCCUUUCUAACUGGGAUGCCUCACGUCCAUGAGAGGAGCAGAGUUCAGGACCUCAUGUUGAAGACCUGUCUCUAAUCACAUGACCCUCCCUUAGAGACUUUCAGCCAUCCCAGUGCUUGGCUAUGGGGUAGCUUGAAAUGCUGCUGGUUUUGAGAUUUUUACUUUAGUUGAGAUAGGCUCUCACUCAAGUAGUCGAAGUUGGCCUUGAAUUUCCAAUAUUCCCAAACCUGACCUUGAACUUCAGAUCCUCCUGCUUCAAUCUUCCUGAGUGCUAGAGCCACGGGCCUGGGCUAUCAUGCACAUUUUAUGCAGUGGGGUUUGAAUGCAGGGCUUCGUGAAUGCUAGGCAAGAAUACUAGCUAGGCAAGCCACAAUCCCAGCUCUGGGUCUGACACUGUUUUGUUUUGGUUUGUUUUAUUGAGACAGGGUUUCCAUGACUGUCCUGGCACUCAAUUUAUAGGUUAGGCUGGCCUCGAACUCAGAGAUCCUCCUGUCUCUGUCUUCUGAGUGCUGGGAUUAGAGGUGCACACCAUGCCUGUCUUUGGUUUGGAGACUCUUGAGCUCCUUUAUCACCCAACCUCCUGAGGCAUCAGGGGUGUGGCUUCAGAAACCUUCCCAGAUGGGUCCCCACCUUGCUAUCACCCUCACAGGCAGUGGGCAGUCCCUAGAAGGAUUUGAAGUUGAGAGACUUUAGUUCUGUCUUAAUGCUGCUGAGGAGGAACUUGGCCAAUCUCGGCCUCUGUGUCUCAUCUGUCAUAUGAAGGGUCUGGAUAGCCAGGUCACCACACUUCCUGGUUUGUUUGUUUUUUGUUUGUUUUGUUUUGUUUUUUUCUGUUGUUUUGCUCAGGCCAAUCCAUUGCCUAGAAAUUCUUAACUGAUUCUCUGUCUAUCACACUUCCUCCUACUAUUGAGGUUUAUCUCUAAAAUCACCCCUGGUUUCGAAAGCCCUGUUCCAGCCAUGAUGAAAACAUGACACUGGUUUUUUUUUUUUUUUUUUUAAAUAGGAGCUUUGUCCCCUGAACACAGAUCCAUGCACAUCCCUGCCUUCUGGGAGAGCUGGUUAGCACACUUCUCACUAUCAAUAAGCUGUGUGUCGGGAGCUAUGCUUUGUGCCAUGAACAGUGUAAUAAGCUCUGUAUUAGUAUUAACGUGUCUAGAGGAAGGGGAGUCAAUUGGCUCAGUGAGGAAGGUGAACAUGCACUUCCCUGCUGGCUUCUGCCACCUUCCCCUGAAGAGCUCCCUUCCCCCCAAGCCAGCAUUUACCGGGCACUGGAGCAGCUCCCAUGGAAGUGUCAUCACUAAUGGAACUGCAGGGAGCCAGACCUCCUAUGCAUAUCUGGUGCCUCUGUUAAGAUCCUCACAGAAGCAAACACUCAGGCAUUUCCUUCCCAUUGUCACACAUAUUUGCUUUUGCAAUGGGAACAUUUUUGGUCAACGCUGUUGUCAUUUUAGUAUGUCCCAGAAACUAGUUGCUCAAAGGUACAGAAAAGGUACAGAACCAAUGAGUUCAGGCAAAUGACCCUAAGCCUAAGCCCCAUCUACAGGUCUAGCUUCUGUACUGAGUGACUAGAAGGCUUCAGAGGCACAAACAGCUGGAUACUCAGAGCUGAUGGGAAAGAAAAUGUGCUUCAAGUACAAAAAUGUCCUCUUCAGAAACUUUACAUCAUAUUUCUUAUACAUGAUUAUUAUAUAACACCUUGAGGUCUUUUUCUGAUACACACACACACACACACACACAUAUAUAUAUAUACAUAUACAAAUAUAUAUAUGUCUUGUAUUAUAUAGUAUAAUCUUGACCAAUAUUCUAUCCUCUACUUUCUAAGAGAAUGCUUUAACAUUUAAAAAAUACAGCAUAAUGGUCCCAAGAUCAUUCGACCAUUUUAUGCUUUUUCAUAAUACUGAAGCCAAGCAUGAGGGGUGCACACAGUACAUAGGAGCCCAAGGCAGGUGGAUUUCCAUAAAUUUAAAGUCACUCUGGAGUUCCCAGCUAGCCAGAGAUAUCUCAAAAAUAAACAAAUAGACAGUAAGUAUGGAGGUGGCUCAGUGAGUAAAUGCUUGCUAUGCAAACAUGAGGGAGUGAAUUUGGAUUCCAGCACGUGUAAAAUCUAGAUGUGGCAGCACACCCCUGUAACCCCAGUGCUUAGGAGGCAGAGACAGGGGACUCACUGGCCAGCUAGUCUAUCUGAAGCACUGAGCUACAGGUUCAGUGAGAGCCUGUGUCUU
ensembl:lincRNA C530050E15Rik RIKEN cDNA C530050E15 gene